rnacentral:lncRNA from 1 species
CGCGCAAGCUAAGUUCCUCGUGGUGGACCGAGGCUUGGGAUGGUUGUGCGUGCCUUUGUAUACGAUUUCGGUAAUCUGUCCAUCUAAAGAUCUCUCGAUCUUCUUCUUCGUGGGGCAACUCGGGUACGUGCACUUGUAGUAGCUGCGCGGGUUCUCGCUUCCUUUCACUUGCUUUUGCCCGUACUUCCUCCAGUUGUAUCCGUCAUCUGACCUCCUCUGCAGAGUCUGAACAGCUUGAGCAUGGUGAGCUGAACCAGAUGGGUGGCGGCUGUUGCUAUCUCUGGGGGCUGUGGAUUCAGAUUUCGUAGUGGGAGUGGUGGUGCUGUAAUGUUGUUGGUGCAUCCAUGAUC